rnacentral:rRNA from 1 species
AGUGAACGCUGGCGGUAGGCCUAACACAUGCGAGUCGAACGGCAGCACAGUAAGAGCUUGCUCUUACGGGUGGCGACUGGCGAACGGUUCAGGAAUACAUCGGAAUCUACUUUUUCGUGGGUGAUAACGUAGGGAAACUUACGCUAAUACCGCAUACGACCUACGGGUGAAAGCAGGGGAUCUUCGGACCUUGCGCGAUUGAAUGAGCCGAUGUCGGAUUAGCUAGUUGGCGGGGUAAAGGCCCACCAAGGCGACGAUCCGUAGCUGGUCUGAGAGGAUGAGCGGCCACACGGGAACGGGAACAAGGGCCAGGCUCCUACGGGAGGCAGCAGUAGGGAAUGUGGGGCAAUGGGCGGAAGUCUGAUCCAGCCAUGCCGAGUGAGUGAAGAAGGUCUUCGGAUUGGAAAGCACUGUUAGGAGGGAAGAAGAGAAGUAGAAGAAAACGUGGCCGUGUUGACGGUACCGAAAAAGAAAGCACCGGCUAACUUCGUG